UAACAACUCCAAAGACAUGUUGCUUUACCUCUUUUUACUUUGCUCUCACUUCAUAGCCCUGGGUUCCAUGAACAGCAUAACGCCAGAAAGUCCUGAAGAACAUGUUGCAGAGGGAGGAAACAUCAACCUGACCUGUAAAUAUGAGGGUUUCAUCACCAAUAUCCAGUGGUACCGACAAUACCAGAGAUCCAGACCAGAGUUCCUGCUCUCCAUCACAGAAGGAGGAACGAUUCAUCCAACUGGUUCAGUUUUCUCAGCUCACAUUAACAAAACAGACAAGCGUGUGAAUCUGGAGAUCAUCUCAGCUAAAGUGACAGACUCUGCUGUGUACUACUGUGCUCUGCGGCCCACAGUGACA